AAGCGCUUGUGACCAGACUUGGGCGCGGCGGAUCAUCCGGGGUUCUCUCCGGUGCACUUCGCCGCGUCUAGGCCAGCAUCAGUUCGUCGCGGGGGAAAAAGGCUUCGGGAACGUGGCUCCUCCGGGAGUGUUAUAGCCCGUUGCAUAAUACCCUGCUUUGGACUGAGGACCGCGCAUCUGCAAGGAUGCUGGCGUAAUGGUCACCAGCGA
rnacentral:rRNA from 1 species